rnacentral:lncRNA from 1 species
AGAAAGGAAGAGAAGGGAAGAAGAGGAAAUGAGGUAAUGUUAUUUCCUCGAAGUUUGGGUUUAAUUUUUUUCCUUUGUUUCAAGUGAUAAAGUAUGAUUUAUGUUAAAAUUCUAAGAUUUUAUUUGGCUCAAAAUUUUCAGAUUUUUGAGAUGAAUACUACUUGGAGCUCAAGUUAUUGAUUCUUGAAUUUCUAUCUACACUAAGGUAAGGAGAUAUCAAUUUUUUUGGGCAAAUCUUAGUUUUUAAAUUUGAUGAUUGAGCAUGGAUUAUUUGUGGAAAUGAUUACAUUAAUGGAAUUAUUCACUUGGAAGAAUGAUUUUGGGGAAUGAUAGAUAUAUUAAUUUGGUUGUAGUAUGAUUGCUAGUUUUUCACUAGAAUGAAAGGGAUAAAUAUUGGUAUGAUGGGAAUGAAGUUAAAUUUGGAUGUGGUAUAUAAUUGUGAAGGUAUUAGAAAGUAGAAAUUAGCUCCGAUUGAUUAAAGGAAAUUUAGGAAAAUUUCACAAGUCUCGGGGAAUUUAGUUUAAUUAUUAUAUCAUUAGAGAUAAAAGGUUUCUUUAUUUUAAUAGUGAUUAAAUUAGUUAUUUUGUAACAUAUUUCAGGUGGUGACGAAGAAAUUGAAAAAGCAUACCGACCGGUCUAGUCUGUAACUCGUAUUGAGUGAGUGGAUGAAAAUUAAUUUUUCAACAAUAAGUAUUUAUUCAAUUUAUAUUAAAUCAGAAAAUUUAUUAUUUUAUACAGUUGAUUUGAUAGCAUAAUUUUCAGAAUAAAGUUGACUUAUAAAUAGUUGUUUUAAAGUUUGAUCCAAUUCAAUUAAAUAAUUUCUUUAGCAUAUUUUAUCGGUACUACGUGUUUCAGAAUAUUUAAAGUUAUUUCUAAAAACCAUCAGAAAGUACCCAGGUGAUUUUACCCCAAUUUGCACUGGUGUGAAUGUGUUUACACAGUGUAUGACUAGUUACGGUGAUUUUAUCCGCUUUACAUUAUUGUGAAUAUGUUUCCAUAGUGUAUGACCAGAACUACAGAAUCUCAGCUCUGUGCGCGUAUUACCAGAAUUUAAGAAUUACAGAAUUACAGAAUCGAAUAGCUCUGCCAUGUAUAUCGAUACUUAUUGAUAUAUGAGUAAGGUUAUUUCGAGUAUCUUUUUGGUGUGAUUUUCAGUAAAUUGCAGUUCAUCAGUUUUCAGAUUACAGAAUUUAGUCAUUUCAAUUUAAAUAAUAAAUGUUUUAGCUUAUAGUACAAUAAAAGAACAUUUAUAUUAUAUACUAGUUUUCAGAAAGUUGGCAUAUCUAGAAAAUAUAUAUUUACUUUGGAAUAUCCACUCACUGAGUUAUAGGCUCACAUUUUUAUCACAAUUUCUCUUAUCAGAUAGUAGCUGAGUUGAGCACUACUCGACCAGUUGAUCUAUCGAGUUGAGCCAUAGAUUGUCAAGCAUUGUAUGACUCAUCUUAUCAGUUUAAUAGUCCAUAUUUUGGGAUAGACACCUCUUUUAGUCAGAAAUUAGUUCCAUGUUUUAGGUUUGCUAUGUUUUGUAUAUAUUAUGCAUUUUGGGUACUGUGAUUUAUAAAUUGUUGCAAAGGUCGAAUUGUCAGUAUUGUAUUUGAAUAGUUGAUAGUGGGCCAAUGUACCCUAUUUUAAAUUAUAUGUAUUUGUUUGGGAUAUUGGAUUAUAUAUUUUAG